UACGUAGGGCGCAAGCGUUGUCCGGAAUUAUUGGGCGUAAAGAGCUCGUAGGCGGCCUGUUGCGUCCGCUGUGAAAUCCCGGGGCUUAACCCCGGGCUUGCAGUGGAUACGGGCAGGCUGGAGGCAGGCAGGGGAGAACGGAAUUCCCGGUGUGAGCGGUGAAAUGCGCAGAGUAUCGGGAGGAACGACCGGUGGCGAAGGCGGUUCUCUGGGCCGUGACUGACGCUG
rnacentral:rRNA from 1 species